rnacentral:misc_RNA from 1 species
GUUUGACAACACACUAUAUUCAUUUGAUGGCAUAAGGUCACAAAAAAGAACAAUAACAUAUCCAAAUAAAUGUAAGAACUUUCAAUUCGAUGCCCAUAGCUACAAUCAAAGAAGCUCAUUCAAAAGCAUAUUUUUCCUCCCUUAACCUUUCCCCUUUACUAUAAUUACGCGAUCGCGAGGUUUUCUAUCUUGGGCAUUGUAUCAGUUGCAUCUGAGUGAUCUAAUUCUGCUUCCAGUUGUUUCAAUGAGCUCCGCAAACCAUUGCAUGUUUUAACAAAAUCUUCAGAACAUCCUUUAAGUUUUUCCAGCUCCACCAAUAUUUCAUCAGUAGCACAUGAUAUCUUCUCUAUAGCAGUCUUCAAUGAAGAAAUUUCUUGUGGAGGAUACAGAGAAGCUCCAAGUUCAUCAAUUUGCAGUCCGAUUUCUUGAGAAAGUUUCAGCAGUGUCUCUAGAGAGGGUACAAAAGUAGCAGUAUCCGCAGUACUUUCCUGCUUAAGCAAGCUUGUAAUGGAGCGAAUAAGUUCUUUAAUGACCACAAGUGUUGCAGACACCACGUCAGUAGUCAAACGAGCAAUUUCCAUUUCCUCCGCAGAAAGAUCAUUGCCUAGAUCACCUGCAAAUGAAUCAUCACUAUCCUGAUCUCCUUCAGCAGAAUCUUGAACAGAAGAUUCAUCUCCAACAUCAGAUGACGCUGGCUUCAGUUCAUUCAUUUCACGAAGUACAUCCUUCAUGGAAACAGCAAGUUGUGUCAUUGCUCGACCUAUAGCAGUAAUAUUUGUGGCUGGAGUCUUCUUAAGAGCAGAACAAGCUUCCCAGACAGUGCCCACCAACUGCGGGAUUGAUAAUUUCUGAGUUUUGUUGUUAGAUCCAUAUGAAGACACGGACUCUUUCAUGUUAAUGAAAGAGUC